UGGGGAAUUUUGGACAAUGGGCGCAAGCCUGAUCCAGCCAUGCCGCGUGCAGGAUGAAGGCCUUCGGGUUGUAAACUGCUAUUGUACGGAACGAAAAGGUGCCUUCUAAUAAAGGGCGCUCAUGACGGUACCGUAAGAAUAAGCACCGGCUAACUACGUGCCAGCAGCCGCGGUAAUACGUAGGGUGCGAGCGUUAAUCGGAAUUACUGGGCGUAAAGCGUGCGCAGGCGGUUUUGUAAGACAGAGGUGAAAUCCCCGGGCUCAACCUGGGAACUGCCUUUGUGACUGCAAGGCUGGAGUGCGGCAGAGGGGGAUGGGAUUCCGCGUGUAGCAGUGAAAUGCGUAGAUAUGCGGAGGAACACCGAUGGCGAAGGCAAUCCCCUGGGCCUGCACUGACGCUCAUGCACGAAAGCGUGGGGAGCAAACA
rnacentral:rRNA from 1 species